GAUGAACGCUGGCGGCGUGCCUAAUACAUGCAAGUCGAGCGAACAGAUGAGGAGCUUGCUCCUUUGACGUUAGCGGCGGACGGGUGAGUAACACGUGGAUAACCUACCUAUAAGACUGGGAUAACUUCGGGAAACCGGAGCUAAUACCGGAUAAUAUAUUGAACCGCAUGGUUCAAUAGUGAAAGACGGUUUUGCUGUCACUUAUAGAUGGAUCCGCGCCGCAUUAGCUAGUUGGUAAGGUAACGGCUUACCAAGGCAACGAUGCGUAGCCGACCUGAGAGGGUGAUCGGCCACACUGGAACUGAGACACGGUCCAGACUCCUACGGGAGGCAGCAGUAGGGAAUCUUCCGCAAUGGGCGAAAGCCUGACGGAGCAACGCCGCGUGAGUGAUGAAGGUCUUCGGAUCGUAAAGCUCUGUUAUUAGGGAAGAACAAAUGUGUAAGUAACUAUGCACGUCUUGACGGUACCUAAUCAGAAAGCCACGGCUAACUACGUG
rnacentral:rRNA from 1 species